AUUGAACGCUGGCGGCAUGCCUAACACAUGCAAGUCGAACGGCAGCGCGGGGGCAACCCUGGCGGCGAGUGGCGGACGGGUGAGGAAUGCAUCGGAAUCUGCCUCGUUGUGGGGGAUAACGUAGGGAAACUUACGCUAAUACCGCAUACGACCUACGGGUGAAAGUGGGGGACCGCAAGGCCUCACGCGAUGAGAGGAGC
rnacentral:rRNA from 1 species